GCAGUGACCUAGCGCUGGGAGAGGUCCUACCCUACUGAGUGGUGCGCUCCCACACCCGCACGCAUUUCCGCACUCGUUCCCUAGAAGCCAGCCUUGGCGGUAGUUGCCCAGAUGUUGGGACACCAGUCCCCAUCCAGAUGUUUCGCAGGAGGUUUCGUGAUGCUUACGUGUUGCAGAGUAGGGAGGCGGUUGGAGGAGGGAGAGCAGGGUAGGAGAUGCACUAGGCACUGGAACCCCCCCCCCAACCCACGCCGGGGACUCAUUCGGAGACCCUUCUGGGACAGGCACGGGAUUAGGAAGUUUAAGUAGAAAGGAUGUUUGGAAAUCGCUGUCGUGUGUGUGUGUGUGUGUGUGUGUGUGUGUGUGUGUGUGUGUCUUUCCUUCUUAUUCUUUGCCAGGUUAGCUUGGCCUGCCGGUUAACUGAGAUUAGUGUAAAGUGUCCUUAACAAAAAUCUCCAGCCUUCCAAACUGCCGAAAGUAGGUUGGGGAGGGGAAAAGAGACAGGAGAAAUUACCAGGAAGAGAGUCUGGUAAACAAAAGUUUCCUGGUCGAAACAUGUGCGUGGGAGUCAUGUGUAGGAAGUUUUAUCUGGAUAUGAGUUUGUUGGAGACGUUAGGUUUGAGAAAACUUUCCAUCUCCCCCUUUUUCCUGAAUAGAUAUAAAGCCAACAUUUGCCUUAAUUUAGGAGACAGUGUGAUUUGCUAACCUGUGACACUGAUUGUUUCGUGUUGUCAUUCACCACCGCUUUUUUAAAAGUCAAACAUCAAUUUGGAACAAAUCCAUCACUGAGGUGCACUUAUUUAAUAGUGAAAGUCUACUCGAAGUCACCCCCAACCACAUUUUCUUUGGCAAAAUGACCCACCCACCCGGGACUGGGGCGGAUAAACGCGUCUUCCAAGAAACAGCAACCGCUAGCUGGGGGAAGUGCGGGUGAGCGGUGCUGCGCUUUGCUGAAUUCUUGCCCAGGCGUUUGGAGUUCGGAAGCUCGAGAUCAAAUUCUUACUGGUCGUGUUCAGGAAGUUUUCGAUGCCUGCAACCCAGCCUCUGCGGGGCCAGAGGGCCUCCAACUCCUGGCUGCAAGCGGUUCCGGGGACAGAACAUUCCUUCCGGCUCCGACCCCAGCGCGACCCCCGGGGCUGAGUGUCACUCACGAAGUGACUCACCGGGAGCCGCCGCCCGCACUGUACUUACUUCACUGUCGGCGACGGCGGGCGCAGCGGAACCGACCUGAGCCCUGGUCCCUCGACCACUCUGUCCAGGACCAGCCACCAGCAGCCGGCCCCUCUCACUUCCUGAGUAAAUGUUCCCAAGUGUCCCCGAGUUUACGCAGCCCCACCCUGGGUCCGGUCCCCCCUCGUCGGAAGCAAACGCAGAAAGCCAGAUUGACGUUAGCACCCCUGGUUUGAAAAUGUGCCUGAGCAGCGGUAAUGGCCAGAGAGGAUUCAGAUAGCACAGCUGCCAGCACCGGACCCGUGCGCCCCGGCUGUGCUACGGGAGACUUCUUUGCAACUACUUUGAGCCCAAGACGUUUUCUUACAAAACUGUUGAGGGAGAAAUAAAUUAGACAGAGGAUUUCCCUCCCGCUUUUAUAUUCUCAGCAAUAACUUCUUUCUAGCUUUUCUUUCCGUGUCUCACUGGAACGUUGUGUUUGUUCUUCGAAGUGACUUAUUCGCUCUUAAUUUGAUAAUCUAAUCCAUUUAUUUUAAACUUCUAAAACAUGAGAACAAAUAUAUUUCUGAGCACUAGCCCGACUCUAUUUGGAAAUGUGAGGAGAAAAUAGUGUCUCCGUAGGGAGUGUCUUCAAAUUUUAUGUUAUUUAGGUGGAAAAUUCAUGUUGUAUAGGUGUGUGUUGGGCGAACUGUAGCUCCCAUGUGGCUAACUUCAGGCUUGCCUGGGUGUGAGUCUUUCAGUGUUUUAAGGAUUUUGACAAUCCCAAUAUAAAAGGUCCCUGUCCUGAGGAUUAGUAAAGUCUAAUAAGUGAGCAAUUACAAAUUGAGGCAGCUGA
rnacentral:lncRNA from 1 species